UAGGGAAUCUUCGGCAAUGGGGGCGAACCCUGACCGAGCAACGCCGCGUGAGUGAAGAAGGUUUUCGGAUCGUAAAGCUCUGUUGUAAGAGAAGAACGUGUGUGAGAGUGGAAAGUUCACACAGUGACGGUAACUUGCCAGAAAGGGACGGCUAACUACGNGCCAG
rnacentral:rRNA from 1 species